UACGUAGGGCGCGAGCGUUGUCCGGAAUUAUUGGGCGUAAAGAGCUCGUAGGCGGCCGGUUGCGUCUGCUGUGAAAUCCCGGGGCUUAACCCCGGGCGUGCAGUGGAUACGGGCCGGCUGGAGGCAGGCAGGGGAGAAUGGAAUUCCCGGUGUAGCGGUGAAAUGCGCAGAUAUCGGGAGGAACACCGGUGGCGAAGGCGGUUCUCUGGGCCUGUGCUGACGCUGAGGAGCGAAAGCGUGGGGAGCGAACAGG
rnacentral:rRNA from 1 species